GCCGCAGUGGCCUAGCCUGGUUAGGGCGCGAGACUCAUAAUCUCGAAUCGUUAUGAGAUUUCCUCUUAUCGAGAAACGUCGAGGGCUCGAAUCCCUCCUGCGGCACCA
rnacentral:tRNA from 1 species